GGGCAUGCACGGUGAGGAUAUAGCCUUUCCAAGUGUCGCAAAAGGAGCGUGUAGAAAGCACAGCUCCAUAAUCACCUUAGGAAAACCUCCCCUCUCCAUUCUCCCGAAAAAGCAUGAAGCUGCGGGCGCUUUGCGGUCCUCCUCUGUGUCUUCUCCUCUGCCUUCUCUUCCAGUCUGGACUGUCCCAAACGGUGGUCAAGUCUCUUCCCGGAUUGCCUGGAGACCUCCCUUUUCAUCUCGAAACCGGGUCAGUGACAUUCCCUUUCACUUUUUUGUGCUGUUGUCCUUAUCUCUCUCUUCUCUCUCUAUCUCUCUCGGUACUUGUUUGAAUCUUUGCAUGUUAUGACUGAUUCUCUCCCCCAAUUUUUUAUAAUUGUUUUAGAUACAUUGGAGUUGGGGAGUUGGAUGAUGUUCAACUUUUUUAUUACUUUGUCGAGUCGGAGAGGAGCCCAAGAGACGACCAUCUGGUGCUAUGGCUCACCGGCGGCCCCGGUUGCUCUGCUCUCUCCGGACUGAUUUACGAGAUCGGUGAGUCCUCCUCUGAACCUUUGCCUUUGCCAAAACACGGGUCAAGAGAAACCGAGCCGAGCUUGUCGGAUGUGGUGGUCACCUGCCGAGAGUGAAAUCUAACAUUCCCAAUUUUCAUGGUCACCAUCUCACUGUCUUAAUCAACUAAUACCCUUUUCUUUGCAAAUCGAACUCCAUACUCAUGAGAGGUUGAUUUUGAGGCUUCAUGCCGAACAAGAUUGUAGCUGACAACCAAGUGUUAGAAAUCAAUUACUACUUUCCUAGGUGAAUAGUUACUAUAUUACGUCUCUUAUGUCAAUGACACAAAGGGGAUAUUAAAUAAAUGUUCAUUAAGAGACAAUGACAUUUCUUCUUGGUUCAAAAAGUAAGUUCAUGUGGCACUUGAAUUUUGCAUGCCGUCGCAUGCAAAAGCUGAUUUCAGCAUGAUAAAUGGACAUGUCAUUUUGAAAUUUUAUGUAUUCUAAUGCGGAUGUUCAUUACAUGUAAUGUAGGUCCAUUUACGUUCAAUUACGAGAAUUCUUCUAGAUUCAGACCAACACUCAAAUUUAAUGAUUAUUCAUGGACAAAGGUAACCAGAAAUGAUUUAUGCUACAUGAACCUCUUAAUUUGAUUGGACAACUGUUGAGUAUACCAUAUUUCUGGUCUUAUAUGUUAGCAAGUCAUUCACGAUUAGCUUGCUCACUAUACAGGUGGCGAAUAUUAUAUUCUUAGAUCAGCCUGUUCGAACUGGAUUUUCUUAUGCUAAUAAUUGGGAAAGCUAUAAUAUAAACGACAACAUUUCGGUCGCAGAAUCUUACGAAUUUCUAAGGAAGGUAAAGUCAAAAAGAGAAUUUUUAUAUAAAGGAGAGUCUCUACAUAAUUAAUACUAUUAAUCUCUUUUUAAUCUUUUGGCCUUGUUGCUUGAUUUAGUGGCUUAAGCUCCAUCCCCAGUUUUUGAGCAACCCACUCUACAUUGCUGGGGACUCUUACUCGGGUGUCACUGUUCCAAGGGUCGCUUUAGAAGUUGAUAAAGGUAUCAUUAUUUAUUCAUUUUUUUGUAUUCUGCUUCCUUGUGAUUAAGCAUUUUAUAUUUGUAAUUCUACACGUCAAUAAUUUUAUAUUCAAAAAAUUUUCGAAUAAAAAAGCCCAAGUGCGUACUCCCCAAAUUCAAAUUAACCAAAAAAUAAGAAAAAUAUAAGUCAAUUUAGAUGCGUCCUAAAAGGCGAUUUUGUUUGUUUCUUUCGGGGAUCAUGGUUCAUUAUGAUUUAUACCAGGAAAUGAAGCUGGUUUGGAGCCUAAGAUGAAUCUUGAGGUAACUAUUGCUAUCAUCACAUUAGUACACUCAUUAUUUUGCAUUUCCUUUUUGAAAGAAUGAAACUUACUAGUUCAAUUUGAUUCAGGGCUAUGUACUCGGAAACCCCCUAACAAAUUAUGAUAGUGACCUCAAUUCAAGAGUCCCAUUUGCUCAUCUGAAGAGUCUUAUACCAAAUGAGCUAUAUGAGGUAAAGACUUCCGCUUUUUCUAUGGCAUGUCAUGCCACAAAAUUUUCACGUUUUUCGUUAUUGCUUGGUGCAUGAAAAGAUUGAUUGAGACGCAUACUAAAUGUAUUAGAUGUAGAAUGUGUAUCAUUAUUUUUAGAAUGAAAUACAAAUUCAGGAAAUUUUCUUAAUUAUCAAUACUAAUAUCAUAAAAAGCGAGAAAACAAAAGGCAAAAAUAUGUGUUAUGAGAUUUUUGCCCCCACCGAAUAUUUCUCCAUGAGUCACUUAUUUUUAUUUAAUAUUUGAUUCGAAAAUUAAUGUCCAUCUUUUGUGUGUAUUUCAGUCAGCUAAAACUGAUUGUAACGGUGAGUACAUAAACGUCAACGAAAGCAAUGCUGAUUGCGUUGACGAUCUUAAAGCUGUGAAUCUGGUUAGUUGGCAAUCAUUUUUUUUACCCUCCUCUUUAUUUCUUUAUUAUUUCUUUCUGUCUUUUUUCCCUUUUUGACCAAUAUGUUUUUGUAUUAUUGGAAAUUCCAUGCAUUGAACCUUGACUUUUUGCUAACUACAGUGCGUGGAGAAUAUAAAUACGGCAAACAUACUGGAACCGACCUGCGUGCCUCAGUCUCCCAAAUCGACGGUCAGUGAUAGGUGGGACCCAACCUUAAUAAAUCGAGACCCUUCACCUCUCCUUUUGUCGACGGAGAGAGCUUCCCGGGUUUGGUGCCGGGUAAGAAUCAGUUUUUGUUUAUUUUUAACCACCGUUUUGCCACAUUUUCAGAAAAAAAGAAGAAGAAAGAAUCAAUUUGUUAAUUGAAUUUUGCCUUUUACCUUUUAAUUAAUUUAAUUUUAGCCGCGUAGGCACUUUGACUUCUCCAUACUCGAAAUACCAAGAACUUCCUUGAUAUAUAAGUAUUGACAUGUAAAUUCGAGUAUAAAGUUCUCAUAAAUUAUUGGAAUUUAAAUAAUAUUUUUUUUAUUCUGACAAGAAAACUAGAUGUCGUUUUUCGUUUGGUUGAAGCGGAUGUGACUUAAUUAAUUAGAUUAUUGGUGGAUCAUCAUCUUCGUUGGUCAAUUACAGUUUUUCAGAUUAUUUUGAUUCUCUACUUCUCAUCCAUUCCCUAGUCAAGAAUAUCAAAUACAUGUUAACAUAACAUUUACGUUCGAGAGAAAAAAGGGGAAAAAAGAAUAAUAUUCAUGUUUUUGAUUAGUAGUCACAACAUGGUAAUUAUGUACAAAUACAACUUCGUAUUGCUGUAAUUAGUAUUCAAUUACAUUGAAAUUUGAUGAUUAAUAUAUCAAAUUAAAGGGUCAAGGUUAAAAAUUAGAAAUGACAAGUCUCGAAAUUUAAUGACUUACCUUUUUGCCUGACCAUAAAAAAAAUUAAGUUCUUAUGUGAAUAGUUGCCAAUGCUGUGUAAAAUAUUUUUAAUUUCUCCAGGGUUGAAAUUUUACGAUCAAUGAAGUUGGCUUAAGGAUGAUCCCCUUAAGCUCUCUAAUCAAAUAGUUGGUGACUCAUUUUUUUUUUAAUUUUUGAGUGGCUAAAUACACCCUCAAGUAGUCUGACCCGAAAUUCUUGACCGAAAAAAUAAUAAUUUGACAGGAAAUUUGUGUCGAAUCAGUCAUUUUCAGCUUAAAUAGAAAGGAUCAUGAUCAAAUUGCAAAGUUCCCAGCUCAAUUUUGUAACCUCAUUUUUACAAUGUAGAAUUAUAACUAUCUCUACAUCUAUAUCUGGGCUAGCGCUAAAGCAGUUCCAGAUGCUCUUCAUAUCCGAGAGGUAUGUCUACCACUAAUGUUAAUUACAUAAUAUCACUUUUAUUUAUUUAUUAUCUUUUUUUCUUUUUCUUACAUCUAUUUUUGGUCUAUAUUUUGUGAUGUGCUUAAUGAUAAGCUAGGGGACAGUUGAGAAGUGGGUAAGGUGCAAUAAGACUUUAUCUUACACAUCCCAUGUCCUAGUUGUCAUUGACAUACACAAAGAGCUCAUAAAAAGGGGAUUUCGAGCACUUAUUUAUAGGUAAUUAAGCAUCACUUUGCAAUGUGAUUUAUGGCUCAUAGUUGACCUACUUACUUCACUUAACGUUACUCUUUCUUAACGUGCAGUGGUGAUCACGACAUGCUCAUCCCGUAUGUGGGAACUCAAGCUUGGAUCCAUACAUUGAAUCUAACGAUUUCUGAAGAUUGGCACGCAUGGUUUGUCGAUGGACAAGUUGCUGGGUUUGGUUUCGAUAACAACCUCUUAACUAUUGUAUAGUUCAAUUUCUAGACGAAUUUGUUCCGAUGGAGAGAAUAACCUCUCUCGACAUCGCGGUACUUAUGUUGAUUUAUGAAAUGAGGCUCCUGCAUUUUCGAUACUCGGUGAAAGCAAAAGUCUGUCCAUCCGAGUUCCCCGGAUAAUAUCGCAAAAUGCAUGUAUAGCAGCUGGAUAACUGAUCGCUUUUUAUUUUUAUUAAAUCUUCUAUUGGGUAUCUCGAUCGUUUGUGGUUACUUUUCUCUCUUUUCUCUCUUAUAGGUAUGCUACGCUAUAUUCUUCCUUUCCAUCCCUUUUUACAUUUGUAACCGUCAAGGUAAACAGAUUCAUAUAAUAUACUUUCUUCUUCGCAAGCCCUUUUUUCUUAGCUUUUCACAUUUUCAUAUCAUAAUUUCAACGAAAUUGGCUCCUUAGAAUUCGCAAACCGUACGUUGAAAGUGGUGUUAUAUGAACUCCUUCAUGCAGGGAGUGGGACACACGGCUCCAGAAUACAAGCCCAAGGAAUGUUUUGCACUGAUUAGUAGGUGGUUUGAUUAUUUUUACAUUUAACUUGCACUUGUAGCUCCCUUUUAGUUCGACGAUUUAUAUAAUAAACAUAUCGUCGAUGUAAUAAAUUUCUGGUGCUCCGAUUCGGGAACAAUGCUGAAAUGGAUAUCCUUGUUCAUCUCUACGAAUUUCGGAUUAGAUUGAGCUCCUCAGACAUCUAAGGGCCUGUUUGUUUAUUUUUAUUUUUGUUCCUUGGAACAAAAAUUUAUGUUUUUUUGUUCUGGAGAACAAAAAAAGAACAGAAAUGUGUUUGGUAAAAUUUUGUUCUCGGGAACAGAUUUGGAACAAAAACAAGAAGUAGAAAAAAUUGUUUCUUGUUUUAGGAACAAUUCCGAGAAACAAAUUUUCUCUCUCCUCUUUUUUUCUUCUUCUUUUCUCUUAUUCUUCUUCUUCCUUUUGCCGGUCACCGGCCUUGGCCAUAGUCAGUGUUGACGAUCGGCCAGACGAGGGUUGGUAACCUCACCGAAGCGUCGCUAGCCCCUGGAGAAGCUGAGCCAUGGUGAGGCUCGACCUCGCUAGGCCAGGGCGAGGCUAACCUUGCGCCGCUUGGGCGAGGUCGACCUCGCGCCGCCUGGGCGAUGUUGAGCCCCGUUGGUGGCCUCAGUGGCUAGGCGAGCCUCACGAGGCCAUCGGCAAGGCUCGACCUCGCCCAGGCGGCGCGAGGCUCGCCUGGCCAUCAAGGCCAUUGGCGAGGUUCAGCCUUGCCUAGAUCUAGCGAGGCCGAGCCUCGUGGUAGCCUAGUGAGGCUUCGGCGAGCUCGCCAGCCCUCGUGGUGGCUUGGUGAGGCUUCGGUGGAGCUCGCCCAGCGGGUUGCCGGUCGUCGCUGUGGCUGGUGACCAGCCAUAAAGAGAAAGAAGGAAAAAAAAAAUAGAAAGAAGAAAGAAGAAAAAAAGAAAAAAAAAAGAAAGGAGAAAAAAAAAGGAAAAAUAUGAUAAAAAUAUUGAAAAACUAAAAUAAAUAACAAAAUUAUAUAAAUUUACCAAACAUAUUUCUAUUUUUGGAGUAGAAAUUUUUUGCAGUUACUAAUAACAUGCAUGACAAAAUUUUUGGAAUGGAAAUCAAUUUAUGGGCAGAAAUUGAUUUCUCAAUUUUCUAUUCCAUAGACGAGUUUCUAAGUAAAGAAACACGUUUGAUAACAAUUCAAAAUUUCUAUUUAUGAAAUAAAAAUUUGUUUGAUAACAAAAUAAAAUUUCUAUUUCUAGGAGCGGCAACGACCGGUGUUUGGUAGCCGGAGUUCGAAGACUGGCGGCGAGCGAUCGAAGUCUAAAAUCCAACGUUUGGUGUCCGGUGGCGGGUGGCCAAAGUCCGGAGUCCAACAUUGGAGUUCGACGACUAGCAACCGGCGUCCAAUGUCCAAAGUUCGACGUCUAACAUCCAACAUCCAACAUCUAGAGUUCAGCGACAAGAGGCCGGCGGCGGGUGGCCAGUGGCUGAAGUUUGGUAGCGGGUGACGGCCGGCUGGCAUCUGGCGACUAGUGGCGAGCAACAAAUGGUCGCCGGGAAACAUUCGGUGGUUGGUGAUUGUUGACACCUAAAUUUUGCUAUUUUACUUAAAACUUAAUCACAUACAAAAUUAGGAAUUAGUCGAAAAACAAAACAAAAAUUAUUAUUAAAAAAAAAAUGCUUAAGGGUGGUUAAGUUGGGCCUGAUCUGACCUUGGCCCGACUUGGCCCGCCCCCCUUUCUUUUCUUCUCUCUCUCACGCGAGGGCCCAGCCUAACUAGUUUUUCCCCCAAGGCAUCCUUUUGCAUGCGACUUGCGAGAAAAGGGAAAAAGAAAAAACCCUAGAAAGAGAGGGGAGGCGGGGAAUGAGCAGGAAGGAGAGAACGGGAGGACAUAGAGCUGGAGGAGGAGACCGAAUUGGAGAGAGAGAAAAAGAGAGAAGGAACGGAGGGGAGAAGCGUAGCGGCGGUGCUGCCCGACGCUGUCCAAGCCGCCGCACUCCUCCUCGCCGUCGUGUCCCGUCGCUGUCCGAGCCGCCGCACUCCUCCUCGCUGCCGUGUCCGAAGCUGUUCGAGCUGCCCCGCGUUUGUGACCGCCUAGCGCUGACCUGCUUCUACUCUGCCUCGCCUUCGACUUGCAGAUCCUGCGUUCGCCAAGCCCCUCACCGCGCUGCCGAGACUCCUGCAAGCCUAAAGCCCCGCCUCCCGUCAAGACCCCCUAUUGCUAGGUCCUCCUCUUCUUUGACACCCAGCAGAUCUGCUUUGAGCCUCUUCUGAGCGAAGCUGCCUUCUACUCCCUACCUGCUGCUCUGCCCGUAUUUUGCUCACCCAACGUCGCUCCUCCGCUCGCGAUGACCUGCUAGCACUGCUGCCUAUAGCCGUCGUUGCCACCCAUUAUGUCGCCGCCGCCGUCCAUGCUACCGUUCGUCACCGCCGUUGCCAACGCCGCCAAAAAACCCUAGGGUUUCGGCCAUGAAAUCGGGUAUGAAGUAGGUCCAAGAGAUGAGUAGGGUUUUGGACGAGUGUGGGUCGGUUUUGGGCCUUUGGGCUUUUGGGCCUGUUUGUUUUAAAAAGAGAGGGGGUAGCCUCACUUACGAAAGGGGGGUUGGGCCCGUCUGUGGGCCUAACCCCAAUUUGAGAAAUGGCCCGACCACAUCUGGUCGGGCCAAAUCUCCUUUCGGAGUCGGCCAAUCGGCCCGCCCCCAGCCAAGCCAAACUCGGGUCUGGUCCCCGACCGAACUUGACUUCCACAGACCAGGCCGAACCAGGUCGGGUUUGACCCGACCUAGCCCUGUACGGCCCAAAAAAAUUUAAAAAAAAAUUUAAAAAAAAAUUAAAAAUUUCGAAAAUCCAAAAAAAUGUAGGUUUUGAUUAGGAAUGGCCAUGUAUUGCCUAUAUAGUGUAAUUAGGCAUUUAUUUGCCCGUAUAUUGAUUAUAUUGCAUGUUUAAUUUACCUGUUUAAUUAUGUUUGCAAUUGCUUAGUUGCAUGUGUUUAAUUUUACUGCAAUUAGGAUUUUGGUAGUUAUGAUUGUUACUUUAAUGAUUGCGCACCCGCAUGAUCACCUUACAUGUUAGUGGAUAGGUAUAAAAUCAACCAAAACUGCUUGCGAAAAAUCAUUUUGUUAAAGUGAACAAGAUUAGGUACCGAAAGGGCACUAAUUGGUCAAUUAGUAUAAUCAAGUCCCCGACCCUAGACUCUCUGGUUGCGUAGGAGGUGAGGUAUACUCUCAUGUCUCACUUGGUUUCUGGCUGACCCCAAUAGGCUAGUGGCGACUUUUUUUGUGCAAAAUUUCUUUUGAAUAUCCCAACGUCACGCGGGGUAUGGGCUUGGGAGAGCUCGUGCCUAAUCAUGGGCCUUAGGCCCGUCCUUUAUGCAGUAUUCCUAAACCUACUCCCUCCCCCUGAGGGUAGGUCGUGACAGUGAUGAGCCUCCGGCAUGCAAUGAUUGGUGAUGAGCAACCAACGACCAGUGGGUGUUCGGCAUCCGGCAACCGGUGGUUGGUGACAGGCGGCUGGAGUGCGGUGGCCAGGGUCGGCGGCGGGCGUUCGGCAUUCCACAGGUGGCAAGUGGGCAACGGGUAGUGAUGAGAGUGAACGAUAAAAAAAAAAUUUUGAUUUUUCAUUUCUGUUCCAGAAAUAGAAAAGCUAAAAAUUUUAACUUUUGAUUUAUGCUCCCAAUCUAUUUUUGGAAUAGAAAUCUGUUCUAGAAAUAAAAAAAAUGAAAUUGCAUUACUAAAUGGAUUUCUAUUACAAACCUGUUUUGAGGAAUAGAAAAACAGAGAAAUAAAGAAACAAAAAUUUCAUCAUCCGCAUCCCAAGCGUGUUCUUAUAUUCAGAAAUUGUUUUCGGGAAAAAAAAAAUCUAUGUAUGUUCAAAAAUUGUUCCUUGUAACAUAAACGUUACCAAACACGCCCUAACAUUGCGACAUCUCAAAGUGUUUUUUCUUUCAUGAAUGUUACUGAUGAGUGAUAACACCACACUUGAUAAGUAACUGAUGAAGCAUACAUACUUUACAUUUUUUUUUAAUGCACUAAUCUAUCUGAUAUCAUAUGUGAUCAAUACCUCGAUAGUCAAACCGUUCCAUGUGGAGUAUGUUUAAUAGGGGCCCCAAAGGCACUGUUGACAUGAUCCUCAAUAGUAAUCGGGAGCAUUGCUCCCUUAUGCACCUCCUUGGUCAUUGAAUGAUUGAUGGAAACACAACCCGCAACAGUUCAACAACAGUAAUUUUUUAAGGCCGAUUAUUGCUAUUGGUUGUUUGCAAACAAACAAAAUUAUUAUUAUUAUUUUUUUCACAUAGGAAAGUUUGGAAGGAUGUGAGCCACUCUAUAAGCAUGAGCAUCUUCUAGUGUGUGGGCUAGAGCUCAUAACACCCGUGUGCAGGUGUGCCAUUUUAGUGCAAUUAUUAGAUGUAGUUAGCACUUUGUGUGCUCAUGAAUAAUAAUUAGCAAUAAUCCUCUGUUAUUAUUUUUUUUUCGUGUUGCUAUUUUGCUAAUCUUUCUUAGUCAUGUCUCAACCUUUGGAAGGUUAUAUUUGUUCAAUCGAUAUUUUUCAAAAGUUAUGAAAUUUAGAAUUUAAAAAACUAUUUCAUUGUUAUUGUUGUUGUUGUUGUUGUUGUUGUUAUUACUAUAAUUUAUUUACUUAUUAAUUUUUCCGAAUUGUAAUAUUUCUUUUCAAUGUAAUCUUUGAGAAUGUACCUAUUCACUUUGCAACCUUUUUUGAAGGGUUGCAGAGGACUGAAAUAAAUACAACGGUUUCGAAAUCAAUGAAAAAUUCUGGUCAGUUUCUUUCCAAAAAAAAGUUACAACUAUUAUUUCAAUUGUUUCCCUGGAGAGAUUCUAAAGAAAUAAUAGAAUUACUAUAUGAUAUUCUCAAUCUAGAUUUUGUUGUAUUCUGGAGGAUUUUUGUCGGUAACCAUUCGUAACAUAGUUAAGCAAAUAAUUCCUCAAAAAAAAAAACAGUGUUAUUAUGCUUCAAAAUCUGAUUUCGUUCUACAAUUGCAUGGAGGAUCAAAUGCUUUGUUAACUACUUAAUGUCUUUUUCUGAAGUUGGUAUCGAACGCUUCAAUCCUCGUUUUCCCUUAUUCAAACUAGGGUUGGUGUACCUCCCCUUCAACGGUGAGAAGGGGCGAUGAUGAGCCCCUCCUUGUCUUGCAGCUUAACAUAUGAUCCAUCCUCUAAUUCCCAAACUCGUAAUAGGAUUAGAAUAAAAGACAUAGACACAACUUUCACUUUCUAGCUCAUUACACUUCACGAGCGACCAAAAUUCCUGGACAAAUUUCGGUCGUUUACCAAAUGACGCGAAAAUACCAUUUUAUAUGGAUAAAUCUCGGGGUCCAUACCGCAUGAGUCCAUUAAGCGGGGCACGAGCCAAGCCGAUUUCAUGACAUUGCAUUUUACGAGAAAUCUUUCCGUGGCCAUAGUUUGGGAAUUCAACUAGAAGCAGACCAACUAUAAAAGUGCGUCCAUAUUCAUGGACAAAACAAAAGUAACAAGAAUUUGAUUCACUCCUCUGCUGGGACUUUUGCUGCAUCAGUUCCCAUCAUUUAAUUGGUUAAUUUUUGCAGGUCGCAAAUAUUAUAUUCUUGGAUGAUCCUGUUGGAACCGGAUUCUCUAAAUGACAAAUUGUCAACAUUCAAGAUAUUUAUAUUCAAGAUGUUUCUGUUGGAAGAUAUGAAGAUAUGUUUCUGUAAUUUCUUGUAAUAGGAAAUCAAAUAUACUUUAGGAUAGAAGAAGAUAGGCAAAUAUAGAAUUUCCUUUAUUACUUUCCUUCAUUGUAAUUAAAUACAAUGUUACAUGUACAGAAUCAUUCAAAUGAAAAAAGAAGAUAAUUGCUUCUUCGCCUAUCAUCUGUUCUUCGAAUACCUUCUUCUUCUUCCUUUUCUGACAUGGUAUCAGAGCCUCUCUGGUUCUGAACUGUUUUUGCUUCCGCUUCUGAUUGCCUCAUACUCCAAUCUCGAAUUUUCAGAAAAAGCGUUGCCAAAGGAAUCAAAGUUCUUGAUUGCCUGAAGGACCCAAAAAAAAAAAAACAAUUUAUAUCUCAAUAUUUUUUUGACGAUGAAGUUAACUAUUUUUUUCUUAAUAAUAUGAACAAUCAUUUUCAGGAAAAAUAUUAUCCAAAUCGUUAUAUUUCCGUGAACCAAGUACUCUCUUAAUUUUACUAUGAUAUUUUGCUGCUUGAGCUUUGAUUCAGUGGCUUACAUUGAUCGACUCUGUAGCUUUCGCAAGCCCACGGCUGUUUUGGGUGAAGCUUUAGUUUCUUGUAGAAGUUCGGCGGUUGAUUUUCCGCUGCUUUCUUUUUUCUUUUCCGGGUUUUGAUUUCCCUUUCAUGCGUGAAACGUUAGAUGAUGUGCCUCCCGAGUGAUCAGUGGAGUUGCUGCUGCUUGUUUGUGUCGAUGAUGAUGUAAACGUGUUUGCUUAGGGAUGAGCAUGGUCCGGGUUGGGCUAGCCCACCCCUUAACCCUAAGACCAACCCAUAUAGUAUUGAUCCUCGAUUUUUGGAACUGAUGACUGAUCCUAUUGAGCUUGGGACCGAGAACUAGACCGACCCAAUGGAUUUGGUCUGGUUCGAGAGUCAAUCCGGGACCAACCGAUAAUGUGGGAUGAGCGUCGAGCGUCGAGUAGGGAGUAACAAGCUAGGUGAGCAUCAAACAGCAAGCGGCACGAGUGAUCCGAAGUGAGCGAAGUAAGUGUCGAGUGGCGAGUGGCGAGCGGAGAAGUUGUUUAUUUCAAUUUUGGCAAAUUAAAGAUUAAGAGAACAAAUAAGAUAGAAGAGAACAAAUACUAGAUGAGGAUGCUGUGAAGAGCUAUUUAUGCCAUUUUGAACGCAGUGAGGACUUCUCACAAAAACAUUAUCCUCAUUUAUAAAUUAUGGUUGUUGAUGCCGUAAAAGACAUUAAAAGAUCUAAGUUAUUAAAAAAUAGUGUAAAAUUACUUGAACCCCUCACUCAGGAGUUAUUUAAUGUUGUUGACGCUAUUUAUUUUAGGGUUUUUUAUAUAUAAAAAAUUAUAAAUAAUAUAUUAGAUAUAUAAUAUAUAUAGAAUGAGGAUUGAUCCGGGUUGGACCGACCCUAAACUCUCGGGACUGAGAACCAACCCGCACAGUGCUAAUUUUAGAGGUCAAUGAGUGAAUUCUUUUUUUUCUUUUUUUGUUCUUUUUUGUUUUGUUUGCUUCGAUUUAGAUUGAUUGAAAAUGUGAUUGGUAUGGCUUUUUGUGUUGCAGAGAUAGAUUGCGCGAAUGAAAAGGAUGGAGUUGGGCAAGAUUUUGUUGUGCUAGUCUGGCUGUAGCUGGAGUGGUAAAGCAAAGUUCCCUCCCUUUUUUCCAUAGUCUUGUGUUUUUUGAUUUUUCAAAUUUGAAUUUGAAACCGAAGUGCUGUCUGAUUAUGUGUUUGCGAUUUGGGCUGAACUAUGCAAACAGGUUGCUGCUCCGCUGACAUACCCUGCCAAUGACCUUGGUGGUGAAUGUGAUGAUGCUGAUGAUUGGAAAGGAGAAUUUUUCCCAGGCAUUCCGAACAUCAAGUAUGAGGUGAGGCUUUCCAGAGAAAGGGUCUGUUUAGCUUCGAUUUCAUUGCAAUUUUACUUCUUCAACUUUGUGUUAGGGCCUGCAAAAUUUCAUAGCAGAUCGUGUUUUGUUUUAGCUACUACAUGCAGAUUAAAGUAGUAAACAUGAUUUUUUUUGUAUGUACUGAAAGAAAAUUCAAUAAUUUCGUUUGAGAACUCAAAGUCUAAUUUUGAACUUUGUUAUAUACUAUUGGAAGUGCCUGCUGGUUGAGAUUCUCACUUUAAACAACGUGCUUCUCAUUUAGGGUCCUUCAAGCAAGAACCUGCUGGCAUAUAAGUGGUAUAACGCCGAAGAGGAGAUACUAGGCAAGAAAAUGAAGGUGGGUUCUUUUUCUUUCCCUUGGUGAUUUUUUCUUUUUACUUUGCCAAUCAGUUGUGCGGGUUAUAAAUAUUGAUAGCGGGCUGAUGCUUGCAGCAUUGGCUAAGAUUUAGCGUUGCCUUUUGGCACACAUUCAGGGGAACAGCAGGUGAUCCUUUUUUCUGCCACGAAGUUUUGGCCCUGGGAGGAUGGCACGAAUUCUUUAGCUAUGGCCAAAAGGAGAAGUAAGAAAUGUUUAGCUAGGAAGUGAACAAUAACUGUGUUUCAGUUUGGAAAAUACCUCAGUUUGGAAUGUAUAUAGGAAUCAGUGCUAAUAACUUUUUAUUUCAUUCUGCAUUCGAUGAACAAAACAAUGAGGGCCAACAUUGAAUUCCUGAAGAAAAUUGGAGUUGAUCAAUGGUGCUUCCAUGACAGGGAUAUAGCUCCUGAUGGCUAGACAUUGGAGGAGAGUAAAUAGUCGAAGUCAGUUUUGGUAUUUCAAGUACAUAUGUAGAUUUUGGUUGCUCAGGACAAUGAUCUUAGAAAAAACUUUGAAACACCCCUUCUUAACUUGUGCUGACGCAGCUGCUCAUGAAAAUUCUUAAUCCAGCAGUCGAGUUUAAGUUUGCUCUUUGUCAUUACUGUCACAGGAAUCUAAUGCGAACUUGGAUGAAGUGGCCCUUGCGAAGGAGCUGCAGGUAGACUCCUGGACAAACAAAAUAUGAUUGUUUUUGUUACGGCUGUAGCACUCUUGGAAUGUAAUUCUUUAUGAUGCCUUCUUUACUCAAUUAAUGAAGUCUUCUAGGCUAUUGCUUGAACACAUGAAAAUCCUUAACCUGACUCUGAAUUUUCUAUAUUAGAAGCAUUGGCUCAGCGUUGAUUGAUGGAGUGUUUGGAUGGAUGAUGAUUCCAUGUUAUUGCUGAGAGUACCAUCAUUCAUAAAGCAUAUUCCUAAGCUGUGAGGAUCUUUUGCUCUUACUUUCUAAAUUACGAUCAAACUUGAUGUCGGGACUUGAAGGCAUGGUUUCUAAUUCAUGUUUCCAUGUUCUUGUUAUUCUGAGCUUAAUUUGUUGAAUGCAAUAAAAUUUUGGAGGGAAGUCUCUCAACUUGUAUAUUUCCAUUAUUCAUUUUAAUCAUUUUAAGGAAGUUCUUUCUAUUGCCGCUCUAGACUAUCUGUUAUGAUCUCAAGUAAGAUGAGAUCUUGCAAUUGUUUGUUACAAUUUUAUUGGAUGCCCAUUUUAUCUUGUUAAGCAUCAGCCAUUAUUGGUCAAUAUGCUAUAGAAUGACACAAGCGAACGCAGGUUGACUCCCUUUUUUUGGUGGCUUGAACAGGAAUGCAUCAAAUUAAAGAUAGUUUAUAUGUCUCCCACGACACAAGUGAACUAAGCUUGCUUGAUACUGGUCGCAUCGCCUAAAUCAUCUAGUAUUUUACAUUUUCGUUCCACUCAACUUAACGUCCUAUCCUUAAAAUACCUUUUAUCAUAAUUGACAGGCAAGCUUCCUCGAAGCAGCUGUUGCCUAUAAGGUGAAGAUUGGAUUCAACGGUAAUGUCUUUCUUGACAUUUAAAUAGAACACUUUUAAUAGAAGUAGCGUUCUAUUAGAUUGGGGAUUACCUGGAUUUGUGUUCAGACUGUUUCAUUUGUGUUCAGACUGUUUUAUAUUUAGCAUCCGUUAGCUCUGCCACUGAAAUUCUUUCACUAAUUGUUUAUUUUGCCUGCCAUAUCGGCUUUGCCUGAUUUUCCUUUUCCAUGUGCUUAACCAGGGACUUUAUUGCUUGAACCUAAGCCUCAAGAGCCAAUGAAGCAUCAGUAUGAUUAUGCAUUUGUGUAAAUUGGUGAAACAGCUUCCAUGAAUCACCUUUACUUAUGGGAAUCUUGUUACAGGUAUGACUGGGAUGUUGCUACAACUGCCAGUUUUCUGCGGAAGUAUGGCCUUUUAGCUGAGUACAAAUGAUUUGCCGGUCUGUGUAGGAAUAUUGAAUUAAUGAUUUGCCGUGUUGUUCUUUUCCUUUACUCAUAUGAGUUAUCUGGUGUUAGCGUACCUGCAAGUCUUGAGGAACAUUUUAACUUUGAGUUCUGCCUAUUUUAAAACCUUGUCUUGAUGUUGCUCUGUCCAUCCCCUUGCAGGAGAAUUUAAAAUUAAUGUUGAGUAUAACCAUGCAACUUUAUCCGGGCGCAGGUAUUUCAUGCUAUGUGAUGCUAAAACUGAAUGCUGAUUUGCUGCGACUAAGUUCUUGAAUUUGGAUUGUGGACCCGAAGAUCUCAUUGCUUCGGUGAAACUUUACUUCUUUUUUCAUUUUUGUAGUUGUCACCACGAGCUAGAAACCGGUAGACUUAAUGGUCGAUUUGGAAACUUAGAUGCCAACACUGGCGAUACACAGAUUGGUACUUUUCUAUAUCCAAAUCCGGAAUAUGCGCAAUUAAAACAUCUUAAUAGUAUUAAUAAUUAUGUAAUGUAAUCGUUGAUAGGAUGGGACACUGAUCAGUUCCAAACUGAUAUUGGAGAGGCGACUUUGGUCAUGCUCAGUGUAGUCAGAAAUGUAUGUCAAAAAUUAAUUUUGCUUUUGGAUAAAUAAAAAGUAUUUUUGUGACAAGCCUAUGUAAAUGCAACUUUAUAAUUAUGUUCUUCAUUCUUACCUUUCAUAGGGAGGAUUGGCACCAGGGGCAUCAAUAUGUAAGCAUACUUUUCUUCUCUUCUCGAUGCAUCUUUUUUCUAUUUCAGAUUAAUACUGAUUAUAGAGGUUAUGAGGCAUAAUAUGGAUUUGGCCUAGUAUUGUUUUCAAUGCUUCAUUUCAUAUGUCCUUUGCUGUAGUAUAAAUAUUGUUUGUGUGAUGCUGUAGACGAAGAGAGUAUGGACGUUGAAGACUUGUUCAUCGCUCAUAUUAGCGGAAUGGACACCUUGGCUCGUGGGUUCCGAAAUGUCGCCAAGCUGAUUGAGGUGAACUAAUUACUUCCGUUCAACUCAUUGAUGUUCCUAGUCCUGACAGUUCAGAUACUCCUUCUCUAUCAACAUGACUAAUUAUGUUCACUUUUCAAACACAGGACGGUUCACUGGACGAACUCGUCAGGAAGCGAUAUGAGAGCUUUGAUGCCGAAUGCGGGGCUCAAAUUGAGCUACUUCCUCAGAGCAAGCAUCGCUUCUUACUAUUCCCUUUAAAUAUGCACCGCUUCUUCACCAUGUCUACUCUUUUUUUUUUUUUUUAAUGAUAGAUCCUGAACUUUCUUGGUCAGGCUGGUGAGGUGGAUUUUGAAACGCUUGAAAAGAAGGCUACCGAAUGGGGUGAGCCCCAGGUUCCUUCAGCUAAGCAGGUAAUACAGAAGGACUUAAUGAGGACCUUACAUCCUUCACUUUAUAAUUCUGUUCUUGGGUUCUGUGCUUGGCUUAUGUUUCUAAUCUUUUAAUCUUCCUUUUUCAGUUAAUACAGAUGCUUUAAAUACUAGGGAAACUCUAGAAUGUGUUACCACAUGACUUGGCUAGCGGUUGCUUGAUCUUAAGUUGUAGGUCCUAAGAGUGCUAAAUACAACACUGUUAAUCAAAUGAUGCCACAUGAGCAUGUCUCAAUGAAGAUUUAGUCCUAAUCAAAUAAUGCCACAUGUUUCAUGAAGCAAAGGAAUUAACUAACUGGCUAUGGCAAUGGACCAAAGUGCUUUCAAGUACUGCGUUUUCUUUUGUUUGUGUGUUACUAGGAUAAAUAUAAGAGAUAUAACUGUCCAACAUUGACAUAUUCAAUAAGUUGUGCCUGAAACAUUUAAAGAAUUGGAGCUACAAUGUUCGUUAUUAGUCACAAAUUAUGAACUUCUUUAGUACUGUCCCUUUGAUGCCAAGUUAUUUCCUCUUGUUUCUUUCUUGAAUGCUUUGCCUUUCUCGACUAUGAUUUUGCACUGAGCUACUCUUGAUCAUCUUUGGUGCUUUCUUGGAGCUUUAUCAUUGCAUCUUUAUCCUUCUUUUGCACUUGCAUGUGCUUUUUUCUAACGCUCUUUCUCAUGCGAAGGAGGUAGCUAUAUCUUUUUGCUUCUGGGUGUAUGAACUGUUAGGGUUGUAGUAGCGAAAGGCGUGAAUUUUUUAUGUUUAGGGAAAAAUCUGAUGUUGCUAGUUAUCUGAUUGAUUUGAUGUGACUGAUCAAUGACCAUAUGACAUGCGUCUCAAUGUGAAAGUCAAGAAGUUAUAGUUCAUAGUUUACGACCGACUUAUUUUGCCACGUGCUAGUCGUUACUCCACUUUAUGCACCCGCUAUACAAAUUACAUUUUUCGAGACUAGGUCAGCUCUGCUCAAGUGCUAUCUGCUCAAGUCUUCUUACAAGACUAGUUGACAUCGAGCGCCCAUCGACAGUGAGCUGGUUUUGAUCCGUGUUCGAUAGAAUCAACAUACUGCGAUAAAUUUGUCCAAAGAGCACGGUUUUAGUGAUGUUUGGCCCUAAUGAAACGAUCAGCAUGCUGUUGGAUGAGUUGCCUUGCGAUUUAUAUGGAAUAUCGCUGUAUCUAUCCGUCUCAUAUGCAAGUACAAAUCCAAACAAGUGAUAAUGGCAAAGGCUUUGAAUGUACACAAGCACGUGACCUUCGGGAGCACACGUGCUUAGCACCAUCCAAAAUCUUAAAUGUUGAAUUUUCUUUAUUGAGAAGUUCAAAUGUGGCUUAUUUGAUGGAUUGAAUCCAUCAAAAAGCUCAUCCAAAAACCUAACCGUGAGGAACCACUCAAGAGGAGCCUUUUAUCAAAUCUGAGAAACAAGUGCGCUGGUAUUGACCUCUUUUAGUGUGAUCGUGGUGUUGACCCCUCUUAGUAAAUCCUGCACCUGCUCACUGCACACUCUCAUAACUCAUAUAUGUCCCAAAAGAACCAAAUCCUUUGCUCGAGGAAGAUGGAAUUGGGACCCCGGCAACGAGUGCCGCAUCAUUGGGAAGUCGUUAGGAACACGGGAUAUGAGUCCGACCAAGCGUUUUACUGUGUCGGGUCCCAAAUUCUCAAAAAAAAAAAAAAACAUGAAAUUUGUUGGUGUUUUGUGGUCUGGCUGUCUUUUUUUUUCACUUUGCACUCUCUCAUAGACAGUGAUCUAGGCUCUCUUAGGAUUCCCUAGUGAACUUACUUUCUAUCUUGAAACAGGGUCGGCGAUAUAUUAACUCUCUCUCUCUCUCUCUCUCUCUCUCUCUCUCUCUCUCUCUCUCUCUCUCUCUCUCAUAAAUUUCCUAGAAGAUGUUAAAAUGUCCUAUGUCACGUCCGAAUGCUACCUUUCUCUCUCAUAAAUUUCCUAGAAGAUGUUAAAAUGUCCUAUGUCACGUCCGAAUGCCACAAAGGUAGGUAGGAGUAAAUGACAUAACUGUCCUUUCACCAAAAGAUAAGAUCUCAAACCAUACCUAAAAGUCAAGCUCCAAAAAGUGAUCUCGUAUUAUCGGUUGCUAAUUGAGGAACUCGAAAAAAUAAGGAAGGAAAUGAGUGAACAAUCACAGUUUAGUAAGUAGUGCAUAUUUCUUCUAAACAAAUUAAAUAUCAACUAUGCACUUUACAAACCAAUGCUCAAAGCUCACUUAUCUUAAUCCUAGGAUAAUACACGUACAAUUUAAGAAUAAUUAUAUUGCUUUAACAUCUACAUAUCAGAAAAUAUUUGUUUAAUCAAUAAUAUCAUUACAAACAACAAUGAUCUAAUCAUUUAAUCAAUCUUAUCAAUUCACAUGCUAAUGGUUUAAUCCAUUGAUUAAUCUCAUCAAAUCAAACGUUUCAUUAACUAAUCUCGUAUUUUCAGGUUCCUCAAUUAGCAACCGAUAAUACGAGAUCACUUUUUGGAGCUUGACUUUUAGGUAUAGUUCGAUUUGGCAGACCCCAGAGCCUUCACUAGAAUCGUGGGCAUGCACGGUGAGGAUAUAGCCUUUCCAAGUGUCACAAAGGGAGCCUGUAGAAAGCACAGCUCCAUCAUCACCUUACGAAAACCUCCCCUCGCCAUUCUCCCGAAAAAGCAUGAAGCUGCGGGCGCUUUGCGGUCCUCCUCUGUGUCUUCUCCUCUGCCUUCUCUUCCAGUCUGGACUGUCCCAAACGGUGGUCAAGUCUCUUCCCGGAUUGCCUGGAGACCUCCCUUUUUAUCUCGAAACCGGGUCAGUGACAUUCCCUUUCACUUUUUUGUGCUGUUGUCCUUAUCUCUCUCUUCUCUCUCUAUCUCUCUCGGUACUUGUUUGAAUCUUUGCAUGUUAUGACUGAUUCUCUCCCCCAUUUUUUUUUAAAAUUGUUUUAGAUACAUUGGAGUUGGGGAGUUGGAUGAUGUUCAACUUUUUUAUUACUUUGUCGAGUCGGAGAGGAGCCCAAGAGACGACCCUCUGGUGCUAUGGCUCACCGGCGGCCCCGGUUGCUCUGCUCUCUCCGGACUGAUUUACGAGAUUGGUGAGUCCUCCUUUGAAUCUUUGCCUUUGCCAAAACACGGGUCAAGAGAAACCGAGUCGAGCUUGUCAGAUGUGGUGGUCAACCGCCGAGAGUGAAAUCUAACAUUCCCAAUUUUCAUGAUCACUGUCUUAUUGUCUUAAUCAACUAAUACCCUUUUCUUUGCAAAUCGAACUUCAUACUCAUGAGAGGUUGAUUUUGAGGCUUCAUGCCGAACAAGAUUGUAGCUAACAACCAAGCGUUAUAAAUCAAUUAUUACUUUCCUAGGUGAAUAGUUACUAUAUUACAUCUCUUAUGUCAAUGACUCAAAGGGGAUAUUAAAUAAAUGGAAUUAAGAGACAAUGACAUUUCUUCUUGGUUCAAAAAGUAAGUUCAUGUGGCGCUUGAAUUUUGCAUGCCGUCACAUGCAAUAAGCUAAUUACGGCAUGAUAAAUGGACAUGUCAUUUUGAAAUUUUAUGUAUUCUAAUGUGGAUGUUCAUUACAUGUAUUGCAGGUCCAUUUACGUUCAAUUAUGAGAAAUCUUCUAGAUUCAGACCAGCACUCAAAUUGAAUGAUUAUUCAUGGACAAAGGUAACAAAAAAUGAUUUAUGCUACAUGAACCUCUUAAUUUGAUUGGACAACCGUUGAGUAUACCAUAUUUCUAGUCUUAUAUGUUAGCAGGUCAUUCACGAUUAGCUCUACUCACUAUACAGGUGGCGAAUAUUAUAUUCUUAGAUCAGCCUGUUGGAACUGGAUUUUCUUAUGCUAAUAACUGGGAAAGCUAUAAUGUAGAUGACAACAUUUCGGUUGCAGAAUCUUACGAAUUUCUAAGGAAGGUAAAUUCAAAAAGAGAAUUUUUAUAUAAAGGAAAGUCUCUACAUAAUUAAUACUAUAAAUCUCUUUUUAAUCUUUUGGCCUUGUUGCUUGAUUUAGUGGCUUAAGCUCCAUCCCCAGUUUUUGAGCAACCCGCUCUACAUUGCUGGGGACUCUUACUCGGGCGUCACUGUUCCAAGGGUCGCAUUAGAAGUUGAUAAAGGUAUCAUUAGUUAUUCAGUUUUUAUAUUCUGCUUCCUUGUGAGUAACCAUUUUAUAUUUGCAAUUCUACGCGUCAAUAUUUUUAUAUUCCAAAAAGUUUCGAAUAAAGAAGCCCAAGUGUGUACUUCCCAAAUUUAAAUUAACCAAAAAAUAAGAAAAAAUAUAAGUCAAUUCAAAUGCGUCCUAAAAGACGAUUUUGUUUGUUUCUUUCGGGGAUCAUGGUCCAUUAUGAUUUAUACCAGGAAAUGAAGCCGGUUUGGAGCCUAAGAUGAAUCUUGAGGUAACUAUUGCUAUCAUCACAUUAGUACACUCAUUAUUUUGCAUUUCCUUUUUGAAAGAAUGAAACUUAUCAGUUCAAUUUGAUUCAGGGCUACGUACUCGGAAACCCCCUAACAAGUUAUGAUAGUGACCUCAAUUCAAGAGUCCCAUUUGCUCAUCUGAAGGGUCUUAUAUCAAAUGAGCUAUAUGAGGUAAAGAUUUCCGCUUUUUCUACAACAUGUCACGCCACAAAAAAAUUUCACAUUUUUCGUUAUUGCUUGGUGCAUGAAAAAGAUUGAUUGAGACGCGUACUAAGAGUGUGCAUGACAAAAUUUUUGGCCAGAAAUUGAUUUCUCAAUUUCUAUUUUAAAAAUUGGGAAGUUAAAAAUUUUAGCUUUUGAUUUCUUAUUCAAAUCUAUUUUUAAACUAGAAAUCUAUUUUAGAAAUAGAAAAAUCAAAUUGCGUUAUCCAACGGAUUUCUAUUCCAAACCUGCUCCGGGAAACAAAGAAAUAGAGGAAUAGAGAAUUAUAAAUUUUAUCAUGCGCGCCCUAAAUGUAUUAGAUGUAGAAUGUGUAUCAUUAUUUUUAGAAUGAAAUACAAAUUCAGGAAAUUUUCUUAAUUAUCAAUACUAAUAUCAUAAAAAGCGAGAAAACAAAAGGCAAAAAUAUGUGUUCUGAGAUUUUUGCCCACACCGAAUAUUUCUCCACGAAUCACUUAUUUUCAUUUAAUAUUUGAUUCGAACCUUCAUGUCCAUCUUUUUUGUGUAUUUCAGUCAGCUAAAACUGAUUGUAACAAUGAGUACAUAAACGUCAACGAAAGCAAUGCUGAUUGUGUUGACGAUCUUAAAGCUGUGAACCUGGUUAGUUGGCAAUCAGUUUUUUUUCCCUCCUCUUUAUUUCUUUAUUAUUUCUUUCUGUCUUUUUCCCCUAUUUGACCAAUAUUUUUUAUUAUUAUUAUUGGAAAUUCCAUGCAUUGAACCUUGACUUUUUGCUAACUACAGUGCGUGGAGAAUAUACGUACGGCAAACAUACUGGAACCGAACUGCGUGACUCAGUCUCCCAAAUCGACGGUCAGUGAUAGGUGGGACCCAACCUUAAUAAAUCGAGACCCUUCUCCUCUCCUUUUGCCGACGGAGAGAGCUUCCCGGGUUUGGUGCCGGGUAAGAAUCAGUUUUCGUUUAUUUUUAACCACCGUUUUGCUACAUAUUUUCAGGAAAAAAAAAAGAAUCAAUUUGUUAAUUGAAUUUUCCUUUUUACCUUUUAAUUAAUUUAAUUUUAGCCGCGUAUGCACUUUGACUUCUCCGUACUCGAAAUACCAAGAACUUCCAUGAUAUAUAAGUAUUGACAUGUAAAUUCGAAUAUAAAGUUCUCAUAAAUUUUGGAAUUUAGAUAAUAUUUUUUUAUUCUGACAUUUCGUUUGGUUGAAGCUGAUGUGACUUAAUUAAUUAGAUAUUUGGUGGAUCAUCAUCUUUGUUGGUCAAUCACAGUUUUCUCAGAUUAUUUUGAUUCUCUACUUCUCAUCCAUUCUCUAGUCAAGAAUAUCAAAUACAUGUUAACAUAAUAUUUACGUUCAAGAGAAAAAAGGGGAAAAAGAGAGUAAUAUUCAUGUUUUUGAUUAGUAGUCACACCAUGGUAAUUAUGUACAAAUACAACUUCGUUACGCUGUAAUUAGUAUUCAUUUACAUUGAAGUUUGAUUAUUAAUAUAUCAAAUUAAAGGUCAAGGUUAAAAAUUAGAAAUGACAAAUCUCGAAAUUUGAUGACUUGCCUAUUUUCCUGACCAUAAAAAAUUUAAGCUCUUAUGUGAGUAGUUGCCAAUGAUGUGUAAAAUAUUUUUAAUUUCUCUAGGGUUGAAUUUUACGACCAAUGAAGUCGGCGUAAGGAUGAUUCCCUUAAGCUCUCUAAUCAAAUAAUUGGUGGCUCAUUUUUUUAAUCAUUGAGUGGCUAAAUACACCCUCAAGCAGUCUGACCCGAAAUUCUUGACCAAAAAAAAAAAAAAAAUAUUGACAGGAAAUUUGUGUCGAAUUAGUCAUUUUCAGCUUAAAUAAAACGGAUCAUGAUCAAAUUGCAAAGUUCCCAGCUCAAUUUAGUAACCUUGUUUUUCAAUGUAGGAGUAUAACUAUCUCUAUUCCUAUAUCUGGGCUAGCGAUAGAGCAGUUCAAGAUGCUCUUCAUAUCCGAGAGGUAUGUCUACCAAUAAUGUUAAUUACAUAAUAUCACUUUUAUUUAUUUAUUAUCUUUUUCUUCUUUUUCUUACAUCUAUUUUUGGUCUAUGUUUUGUGAUGUGCUUAAUGAUAAGCCAGGGGACAGUUGAGAAGUGGGUAAGGUGCAAUAAGACUUUAUCUUACACAUCCAAUGUCCUAGUUGUCAUUGACAUACACAAAGAGCUCAUAAAAAGGGGAUUUCGAGCGCUUAUUUAUAGGUAAUUAAGCACCACUUUGCAAUGUGAUUUAUGGCUCAUAGUUGACCUACUCACUUCACUUAAUGCUACUCUUUCUUAACGUGCAGUGGUGAUCAUGACAUGGUCUUCCCGUACGUGGGAACUCAAGCUUGGAUCGAUACACUGAAUCUAACGAUUUCCGAAGAUUGGCACGCGUGGUUUGUUGAUGGACAAGUUGCCGGGUUUGGUUUCGAUAACAACUUCUUAAGUACUAUAUAGUUCAAUUUCUAGACGAAUUCUCCCGACAUCAUGGUACUUAUGUCGAUUUAUUAAAUGAGGCUCCUGCAUUUUCGAUACUCGGUGAAAGUAAAAGUCUGUCCAUCCGAGUUCCCUCAGGAUAAUAUCACAAAAUGCAUAUACAGCAGCUAGACAACUGAUCCCUUUUUAUUUUUAUUAUACCUUCUAUUGGGUAUCUCAAUCGUUUGUGCUUACUUUGCUCUCUUUUCUCUCUUACAGGUAUGCUACGCUAUAUUCUUCCUUUCCAUCCCUUUUUACAUUCGUAACCGUGAAGGUAAAGAGAUUCAUAUCCUAUACUUUCUUCUUUACAAGCCCUUUUUUCUUAGCUUUUUCACAUUUUCAUAUCUUAAUUUCAACGAAAUUGGCUCCUUAGAAUUCGCGAACCGUAUGUUGAAAGUGGUGUUAUAUGAACUCCUUCAUGCAGGGAGCGGGACACACGGCUCCAGAAUACAAGCCCAAGGAAUGUUUUGCACUGAUUUGUAGGUGGUUCAAUUAUUUGUACAUUUAACUUGCACUUGUAGCUCCCUUUUAGUUCGACGAUUUAUAUAAUAAACAUAUUAUUGAUGUAAUGAUUUUCCGGCGCAAAACAUCUAACAUUGCGACUCGGAAACAAUGCUGAAAUGGAUAUCUUUGCUCAUCUCUACGAAUUCCAUAUUAGAAAUUGGACUUCGUAGUUUGAUUCCCUAAACUUUGAAUUUGUGUCUAACCCCGAAAGUUACUCCGAUUAAACGAAUACAAGACUUGAAUCCUUUCUGGGCAUUGCAAUUUGGGGUUGAAUCAAUGUGUUAUGGUGUCUGCAUUGCGUACGUGGAAUCCCUUUUCUUUUUAUUCUUCUUCCCUUAUUUUCUUUCUCUCCCUUUUUUUUGCAUUGCUUUCAGUCCUCUCUCUAAAAUCAAUUUCCUAACGCACAAUGUUCUAGUUUCCCAACUAAUCAGGUCAAAUUGGAAUCAAUUAGGACAACAGUAUCUUCUACACUUUUUCUUCUUCUUAUUUUUUGUUGUGGGACCCUCCCUUUGACGGGUCAAGACAUUUUGUAUCUUUAUGAAGUCCAAGAGACGUCUAAAAGACGACCCUUUAGGGCUUGUCGCGACCCGAUCUCGCCGCCCCCUCGAAAAGUGUCAAGGUCGGGUUUAGGGAUACUUGAUCUCAAGAUUGCGAGCUCUCCCAAGCUUGUACCCCGCAUGACAGUAUGUUUAUUUAUACGAUCUAGGUAUCUAACAACCUAAAAAAUAUACAGGAGUCGCCACUAGCCUCAAUUUGGGGGUCGGCUAGAAACUCAACCGAGGGUCGGGAGUGUUCCUUCGAUUCCUACGUAACCAGAUAUCUAGGUUCGGGGACUUGGUUACGCUAAUAUUGCUAUUAACGCCCUUUCGCUACCUAAAUAGUAUGUUGCGUUUUUCCUAACAUGUCAAUACAUUUCUUUUUAUAUUUUUCAGAAUCGUCAAUUCUAUACUAAAUGAUCAUGCGUGGUGGAUUACUUUCAUUCUAUUCUAUUCCUAAAAAAAUGAAAGGAAAACAAUCAAUGAAAAUGAAAUUGCAAGACAUGAAGUAAACAAUCAAGAAAAGCAAUUAAACCUAAUCACGCAAUUCUAAAAAUAUAAAAGAGAAAACAAUUGGGAAAGAAAGGAAACCCACAACUCGUCGGGUUUUAUACAAUGCAUGGAACCCGAGACAUAUAUCGGGAAAACAAAUAGUUCAUGACAACGGUCGGAAUGGACAUCGACCUUCACCAUCUUCACGCCUUCUCCAUCUUCAAGAUCCUAAUCUAAACCUAAUCUAAGAAACAUAUGAAUAGGUGCAUACAAGUGAAAGAAACAAAUUUUUAAAUCAAAUGGUAUGUAAAUGAUGCAAAAUUAACAUCAUCUGAAAGAUUAAGAUGAAUCUUAAGACUUCCUAAUAGGGUUCAAGUCCAAUCAAGAUCUAAUUGAUGGUCAAAAAUUGAUAUUUGUGAACUCGCGCAUGUCAGCCACAAAAAAAAAAAAAAUAUACAAUGCAUGUUUAAUGGUUCGUAAGACCACCUAGACAAUGCAUCAAAAUGUGAAACUUGCACAUGACAUAAGGUUGAAUGCGAAAAAAGUUUGGGCAAACAUUUAACCCUAAAUCAGAAUGCAAAGAAAUCACACAAGUCAUUAACAUUGCAAAGUGACUUAGAACUAAGAAUGUCAUGCAUGAUAAAUUUCAAUUGCAAUUAGCCAAAUGAAUGCAUGAUAUUCACAUCAAACGAGAUUCAAAUAUGAUAUAACAUGCGUCUUUCCGAAGUCUGAAAUGCCCUUUAUGAAUAUCUACAACACAUCAAAGGCAAUUGGACACAUCUACUAGCUCAUUCAAGGCAAACAGCAAUCAGGUCACAGACAUGACAGUCCACACUAAGAAUGAUUUAAUGAGCAUUGUCAUUAUCAAAUCAACUCCAAAAAAUUCUGAAAAAAAUAUAUGUUGUAGCCAAGGACAUUUCAAGCAACUUUUCAUGAGACACCGAUCUAUGAAUUCAAGUACAAAAUUCAGUAGAAAAUCGGGAAAACAGUCAAGGUCGAACAAUGCAUAACAGCAAACUACAAUAUAUCAGUUUUCCAGAAUCAUCUCCUAAUUUUCGAAGAAGAUUUCAGAUAGCUAAUGAUAUCGGAUCAAGACGUGCUAUAGCUCGUUAGAAAGCUAAUCAAAUCAUCUUUGACUUUCAUGAAGACAUCGAGCACCAAAAGGCACAUAUACUAACUCAAUUAUGGGCAUACGCACAAAGAGGUCUGUCAGGAAUCCGAGGUUGUAGAACAAUUGUCAUCCAAGUUCAAAAAAUCAUAGAACCAAAAGAUCUAACUGUAAUCAUAGUAUUGAUUCUAAUCAGAUUCGCAAUGCAUCCUGGCCCCAAACCUUCAUUGUCAAGAAUGAAUUUCGACAUGGAAAGCUCUCGCCUCAUCGGAUGCUAUUAAAAGGAGUUUCAAGCACUUACCUUGAUUGAAUCGGCGAAGACAUAAUCGGCGAAGAACAUGUCUUCGAAGAUCUCUUCAUUUAGCAAUGACGAAAUUGCUAUUUAAUAUAAAAAAAUAUAUAUAUUGAAAUCAGCAGAGGGUCGAAUUUUAUUUUGUUCUGUAAAAACACAAAAAGGAAAUGGAACGCUUAGCUUUGAUUUUGCUUCGAGGACUACGGAACGUGAAGAACACCGAGUCAGAUUAUGGUAUAAGAGCUAUUCAGCACCGAUCUUUCAAGCUCUGACUUAUGACUUUCACAAAUCAUGAUCACUCUUCUCUAAUACUUUUUCUAGAUCAGCACUCAGAGAUGAACACAUCGGUGCAUCGUAGUCGCUGGACUUUGCUGAAAAUACUGAUCGCCUGAUGAAGAAACGAUUGGACUUUGCUCGGGACUUCAUUCGACGUCGAUCUCCGAUUUUUGACUUACGAGGCUCAUCAACGGACGCUAAUCAACGAAAUUGAAGAGAUCGACGUCAACAAAAUCUAAUGUAAUCAGAGUCCAAGCACACCAAGUAUACGAGUAGAGAUUGAGAAGACUUAGCCGAAUCCAGAAUCUCAGCUUGUUCUGAUUUCAGUUGUGGAUAAUCUCCUUGGAUUGUGCAACGAAACUCGUGAAGAUCUCGAUUAUUCCCUUCGGUAAAAAACGAAAUCUGUUGCCUCUAUCAAAGGAUUGAGUGGACUAAAUCCAUGAAGAGUCCAUGAAUGGAGAAUUUCUGCACAGAUUUGCAGAAGUUCACCCGUCACAUCCCGGGAGAGAGAGAAAUCGUGGAGAAUUUUCUUCUUCGCUUUUUGUUGAUGGGGUCAAAGAAUGAUCGAACAAAAAAAAUCCGUGAAGCUAUUGCCUUCCCCUCCGAGAGAAAAAAAAAAUCGAGCCCGUUCCAGAGAGAUUUUUAGAGAGAGAGUUAUAGUCAGAGAAAGUAGAUCUCCAGAAUGGCCUCCCCCCGAGAGAGAGAGUCCCAAGAAUAGAGAGAGAGUUCUCUCCCGCCAGCGUUCCCCGAUUCUGUUUUCUAUUUUUUUCUUUCUUUUAUUCUUUUUCUCUUUCUCUCCUUUUUUUUUCUCUCCUGUUUUUCUUUUUCUUUCGUUUUCCUUAUUUCUAACUUUUUUUCUCUUUUCAUUUCAUUUCAUUUUUUUUCUUUUGCUUUUUAUUUUUGCAAAAAGGAUGUUUAAAAAUGUCAAUAAAAUUUCGGGUGUCAACAGGGCUUUUUGGAUCACCGGAUGCCCUAAUACCUUCACUCUAUUGGCAAUCUUGUAAGAGAUUGGUAGGGAUUAAACAUUCACUGAGGACGAUGAAAAGCGGGGGGAGAGAGAGAGGUCAAAAUCUCAAUCAUUGAUCGACGGAUCGAAAUGCACGCCAUACGAUUCAGCAACAUUAAGUUUAAGGCCGACCGAUAUCAGGGAUCGAAUUGCUUGGGUUGCACCUAGUUAGUGUUAGGAGAUUUUCCUGUCUAAUCUUCGGAAGGACGUGGCUGUCCCGUUUCUAGCUCGGGAAGUUCCAAUGAAUGUAUACCUGAUCUCUUGCGGUGCUCUUUAUGCCACUCUUAUCUCUCCUUUUUUCCGAAUCUAAUUUCAGAGCUUCAAUCCUAACCCUCAUUCAACGCCGGCGGACCUCCCCUUCAACGGUAAGAAAGGUCGCUGGACCCCCGCCAAGUUUUGCCAGCUAGACAUAGGGUCGAUCCUCCAAUUGUUGCACAAAAUCUCAGGUCGCGGUCAAACGACGCUGACUGCCGGUCCUAAACGAACAAAUCUUGUCUCAACACAUGCCCAAGAGUCCAUUAAGCUGUGCAACCUCUUUUUUGGAUUAAUCUGCUAGAACUAGCUAAUCACGUAACAAGAAAAAACACGAUAGCGAUCCACGCCUGAUCCCGGGGCGAAGCACGGAUUUCUGCGCGAGUUCUAGAUUUCACCUAGGCCUCAUCUACCCGCAUCAUCCGAACGCUAAGCCUUGGCGGUAUUUUGGCCUGUUAGGUAGCUAUCACCAUCGAUUUGGCAGAACCAGGAGCCUUCACUGGAAAAUGGGCAUGCACGGUGAGGAUAUAGCCUUUCCAAGUGUCGCAAAAGGAGCGUGUAGAAAGCACAACUCCAUCAUCACCUUAGGAAAACCUCCCCUCUCCAUUCUCCCGAAAAAGCAUGAAGCUGCGGGCGCUUUGCGGUCCUCCUCUGUGUCUUCUCCUCUGCCUUCUCUUCCAGUCUGGACUGUCCCAAACGGUGGUCAAGUCGCUUCCCGGAUUGCCUGGAGACC
rnacentral:lncRNA from 1 species